CCUACGGGGGGCAGCAGUAGGGAAUCUUCCACAAUGGACGAAAGUCUGAUGGAGCAACGCCGCGUGAGUGAAGAAGGUUUUCGGAUCGUAAAACUCUGUUGUUGGAGAAGAAUGUAUCUGAUAGUAACUGAUCAGGUAGUGACGGUAUCCAACCAGAAAGCCACGGCUAACUACGUGCCAGCAGCCGCGGUAAUACGUAGGUGGCAAGCGUUGUCCGGAUUUAUUGGGCGUAAAGCGAGCGCAGGCGGUUUCUUAAGUCUGAUGUGAAAGCCUUCGGCUCAACCGAAGAAGUGCAUCGGAAACUGGGAAACUUGAGUGCAGAAGAGGACAGUGGAACUCCAUGUGUAGCGGUGAAAUGCGUAGAUAUAUGGAAGAACACCAGUGGCGAAGGCGGCUGUCUGGUCUGUAACUGACGCUGAGGCUCGAAAGCAU
rnacentral:rRNA from 1 species